ensembl:ncRNA C30C11.6 ncRNA
UCUUUCGGUGGUGAAGGAAAUGCCGCAAAUUUAUGGGUUACUCUUUUUUGUGUUUCUCUGGAUUUUUGAGAAAAAAUGCUUCACACAGGGAUAUUGGGAUGAGCAAAAAAGGGCGUUGC